GAUCAUGGCUCAGAUUGAACGCUGGCGGCAGGCCUAACACAUGCAAGUCGAACGGUAACAGGAAACAGCUUGCUGUUUCGCUGACGAGUGGCGGACGGGUGAGUAAUGUCUGGGAAACUGCCUGAUGGAGGGGGAUAACUACUGGAAACGGUAGCUAAUACCGCAUAAUGUCGCAAGACCAAAGGGGGGGGACCUUCGGGCCUCUUGCCAUCGGAUGUGCCCAGAUGGGAUUAGCUAGUAGGUGGGG
rnacentral:rRNA from 1 species